CUCCUUCUCUCUGCGUCCUGGCUGGGAACCCUUUAAAGGACUCACUGGAGAUAUUUCCACUUAAAACUUAUUUUUCUGAUACUAAUUCCACUCCAGGCUCCAAAGUUCGCGGUUGCCAGUUGCAGGUGUUGCUGCUCUGUGGCUGGUAGGAUGCAGCAAUUGGCCAUGAAGGUCCUUUGUUCCACUUUGAUCCUUCUGUUGGUGGUUCCAUCUGUGUAUUCACAGUCAGAUUGUUCUCAGGCCCAGUCAUGUGACCAGUGCGUCGGAGACUUAUUUAUCAACGUGACAAGCUGCGUCUGGAGGCUUUGUCCAAAUGGUAAUGAUACAGGCACAUGUAUGACUGAUCAGGGAGAUGCAGCAGACAGCGGUACGGGCUGCGGCUGGACCAGGAUUUCUGAACUGUGCCCACUUGUCGAGGCUGCUGGUAAAAGUGACUCAGAUUGUGCUCAAGCCCAGUCAUGUGACCUGUGUGUCGGAGACCCCAUGCUCAACCCGACAGGCUGCGUCUGGAGGCUUUGUCCAAAUGGUAACGAUACAGGCGUGUGUGUGACUGAUAAGGGCGACGUAGCAGACAGCAGCAACGACUGCAGCUGGACCAGAGAUUCUGGUCUUUGCCCACUUGUCGAGACUGUUGCUGUUGUUGGAGUAGAUAAAGGUGACUCAGGUGAUGGACAAAAUCCACGCCCUCAGCUCUCCCAGGCCAAGUUCAGCAUGCCCAGCUUCAUAGGAGGCAUCGUGCUUGUUCUGAUCGUGCAGGCAGGCGUCCUCAUCGCCAUGCGCUUCCUGAAGUCCAAAGAGAAGACCAACUAUGACCCCAUAGAGUAGCCACAUACACGAAGGACAAACUGACAAGGCUGGACGACAGCAGAGCGGUGACUCAUCCAGUUGUGACGGCAAGUUUUUUUUUUUGUCAUUUUUGGUUUGGUCCUCAUAUGCUACCCUUGGGGAUGGGUGUAAUUAUAAGAGGAUAUUUUUCUUAAAAUACUGCAUUAUGUAAGAGUGUUUGUGCAUGCAUUCACUGCUGUCCUUGCAAACGGCAAUCAGAGAAACAAAAAGACUCUGAUCGUGACCAAACCCACAAUAAAUCUCCAUUGGCAGUAAUCUAAAUGUUUGUCCUUUUGCAAACAGAUCAAUUGAGCUUUUUUCAACUGUGUCCUUUUCAUAGUGCAGUGCAGUUAUGAGAAAAUAGUGAUCUAAUCCCAUGUAGACCUUUGGGUCAGACAAGGUUAUGGCAAGCAUUUAGAAUUUUUUUAAGAGCCCUAAAAUAGAUCAAAAAUGAGACACUGGAGCUGUCCAUCACCUAAUAGUACUUCUAUAUUUAAUGUGCAGAUUAAAAACUUCAUAGUGUUUUCUUGAAACCAGAAGUUUAAAUAUUUAUGCAGCUAAUACAUUUAUUUCUUAUGCUAACUUAUAGUGAGUGCAAUAAAUUAAUAAAGGCUCCAAAGAGGCCUCCUUUAAGACUCUUUGUCUCUUGGAAAAAAAAUUCUAACAUCUGAGGCCUCCAGUAUGGCUCUACUGUUACUCUACUUUAAUUUGGGUGUUCUUGUUUUGAAGUGUCAGUAGCUUAGAGUCUCUCUUUUUUCACAUAAAUGUGUUGUCAUAGAGGAGAAUUGUGUUUCCAUUCCUCACAUUUAUAACAUAUAGAUAUUAGAUUUAAACAUUUAAUACAGGUUAAAUAGUUCAAAGAGAUGUGAUCGUGUUAAUGCUGGUUAGAUAGUUGUUUAAUAUCAAUAAAUUUGAUUUGUGAUACCAUUAGAUUGCCUGAAUAAAUUGUGAAUGAACACCUGUUUUUCUCAGUGUGUAUUUGUGUUGUGUCUUGGAUUUUGUUGCAUGUAGAGCCAAGAUAAGAUAAAAGAAAACUUUAUUAUUCCUAAAUGAAAUUCUUUUGCCAGAUAUUGUGGAGAAAAUAAAAUGACAU
ensembl:lncRNA